UUGCUUCUUCUUCCUUGCUCCUCCCUCCACUACUGCCACACCGUUCCGAGUUCCCGACGACGAGCGAGUAUGAGAUGAGGUGACGAGAGGUCGAGAUAUAUGUGUAUAUAUAUGAGUGAGAAGGACCACGCUGGAGAAGCAGGGCACGUGCAUGCACAUACGCCAUUCUCGAUCUCUCCUCUCCACCACUACUGCAUCUAGCUAUCUCCAUGGAUGGAUGUACGUAGCUCGGACUGGAUCGAUCGGAGAAGCAAUAAGCUAGCGAGCUCAUGCAUGCUGGCUGUGCACGCACGUGGUCUCCUUCUCCAUCACGGUUCUUUCUCACUUCGCUGCCACAGCAUGGCCCGUCGCGCGAUCAUCGUCACAAGCUAGCUAUUGGUACGGUGGUGGGUUCAGUGACCCCUACCCCUGCCGGCCGGUGCGUACCCGGCCUACCCGUCGCCGCCGUUCGACAUCGAUAUCGCAAGGUCCAAGGUAUGCUAGUUCGUGAUCACUGGCGAGCACUACGGCACUACCGAUCAUUUACUGUCAUUCAUGCUGUACCUGUACGUAGAGCUAGGCAUAUAUGUUCUAGUUCAUACUGUGUCCAAUGAAGAGUUGAAGACACUAUGCAUGAAAAAACAUGCAUCAUCUUC